CCUACGGGUGGCAGCAGUGAGGAAUAUUGGUCAAUGGACGAGAGUCUGAACCAGCCAAGUAGCGUGAAGGAUGACUGCCCUAUGGGUUGUAAACUUCUUUUAUAACGGAAUAAACCUAGGCACGUGUGCCUUUUUGCAUGUACUUUAUGAAUAAGGAUCGGCUAACUCCGUGCCAGCCGCCGCGGUAAUACGGAGGAUCCGAGCGUUAUCCGGAUUUAUUGGGUUUAAAGGGAACGUAGAUGGGUUGUUAAGUUAGUUGUGAAAGCGUGGGGCUCAACCGUAAAAUUGCAAUUGAUACUGGCAGGCUAGAGUACAGUUGAGGGAGGCGGAAUUCGAGGUGUAGCGGUGAAAUGCGUAGAGAUCACGAAGAACCCCGAAUGCGAAGGCAGCUUACUAAGAUGUGACUGACAUUGAUGCUCGAAAGUGUGGGUAGCAAACAGGAUUAGAUACCCCAGUAGUC
rnacentral:rRNA from 1 species